rnacentral:rRNA from 1 species
GCCUACGGGGCGCAGCAGUGAGGAAUAUUGGUCAAUGGUCGGGAGACUGAACCAGCCAAGCCGCGUGAGGGAGGAAGGUACAGAGUAUCGUAAACCUCUUUUGUCAGGGAACAAAGGCGGGGACGUGUCCCCGGAUGAGUGUACCUGAAGAAAAAGCAUCGGCUAACUCCGUGCCAGCAGCCGCGGUAAUACGGAGGAUGCGAGCGUUAUCCGGAUUUAUUGGGUUUAAAGGGUGCGCAGGCGGGCCGUUAAGGCAGCGGUCAAAGCCCGGGGCUCAACCCCGGCCGGCCGGUGAAACGGGCAGG